UCAUAAUCAGUGAAAACGAGUAGGGCGGGACACGUGAUAUCCUGUCUGAAUAUGGGGGGACCAUCCUCCAAGGCUAAAUACUACUGACUGACCGAUAGUGAACCAGUACCGUGAGGGAAAGGCGAAAAGAACCCCUGUGAGGGGAGUGAAAUAGAACCUGAAACCGUGUACGUACAAGCAGUAGGAGCACCUUCGUGGUGUGACUGCGUACCUUUUGUAUAAUGGGUCAGCGACUUAAUUUUAGUAGCAAGGUUAACCGUUUAGGGGAGCCGUAGGGAAACCGAGUCUUAACUGGGCGUACAGUUGCUAGGAUUAGACCCGAAACCAGGUGAUCUAGCCAUGGGCAGGUUGAAGGUUGAGUAACAUCAACUGGAGGACCGAACCGACUAAUGUUGAAAAAUUAGCGGAUGACUUGUGGCUAGGGGUGAAAGGCCAAUCAAACCUGGAGAUAGCUGGUUCUCCCCGAAAGCUAUUUAGGUAGCGCCUCGGACGAAUACUACUGGGGGUAGAGCACUGUUAAGGCUAGGGGGUCAUCCCGACUUACCAACCCUUUGCAAACUCCGAAUACCAGUAAGUACUAUCCGGGAGACACACGGCGGGUGCUAACGUCCGUCGUGGAGAGGGAAACAACCCAGACCGCCAGCUAAGGUCCCAAAGUAUAGCUAAGUGGGAAACGAUGUGGGAAGGCUCAGACAGCCAGGAUGUUGGCUUAGAAGCAGCCAUCAUUUAAAGAAAGCGUAAUAGCUCACUGGUCGAGUCGGCCUGCGCGGAAGAUGUAACGGGGCUAAGCUAUACACCGAAGCUGCGGCUACGUACCUUAGGGUAUGUGGGGUAGGGGAGCGUUCUGUAAGCCGUUGAAGGUGUGCUGUAAGGCAUGCUGGAGGUAUCAGAAGUGCGAAUGCUGACAUGAGUAACGAUAAAGGGAGUGAAAAACUCCCUCGCCGGAAGACCAAGGGUUCCUGUCCAACGUUAAUCGGGGCAGGGUAAGUCGACUCCUAAGGCGAGGCCGAAAGGCGUAGUCGAUGGGAAACGGGUUAAUAUUCCCGUACUUCUUACAAUUGCGAUGGGGGGACGGAGAAGGCUAGGUGGGCCUGGCGACGGUUGUCCAGGUUCAAGUA
rnacentral:rRNA from 1 species